CUAACAAGUAAAAAUAGUUAUCAAGUAAUCAAGUAAUUUUCAAGUAAAAAUAAUGUCUGACAUACAGUUUAUGCUAUACUAGUGCUUAUUAAAUACAUGGUAAAAUUUCAAAUUGUUUCUCCCUCUAGAGAAUCAGUAAUUUUCAACAUUAUGUAAGGUCUAGUCUGCUCACUUCUUUUCACUUUGUGCUUGCUGAGAAUGAGAGUCCUUCUCAGUGGCUCUAUUGCCACUUAAUGCCUCACUUCAUUGAAAUUCACACAAGUAGAGCUCACAGACCCCUAGUUCAGCAAAAACUCAGCUCAGUUCUUAAAUACUGUCUGUUGUUCUUAGAUUCUUCCUUGGGGAAAGGAGAGAGUGUUCGUUCUUACUCUUUCAACAAAUGAUCACAUCUGGGUUUGAAUCCAGGCACUGCAACUUCUAUCUGCAUGUUCCUUUAACCUUUCCACAUUUCAGUUUCUUCAUUAAGUCAAAGGGAAUAGCAAUAUCUCACCGGAUUGUGAUGAGAAUUAAACGACAGCUAUAGAAUGUUUAUCUUUGUCAGCAUGUGGUGAAUGCUCAAUAUAUUACAUCCACAGUUAUUCUUAGAAUUGAAGACAUCAUCAUGCAGAUUCUGUGAGUGAGCCCCAAAGGUCAGUUUGAAGAUGAACUGUCAUGUCAACUAACUUGUCCUUCCAAAUGCUAAGUAUCCAGCAAUAGAGGCGAGCUGGGGAAGGGUAAAGAGAAAUCACUAUCGUUGCUGAGGAGAUGAGAAGAUGACACUUUCCAGAGACCAAGUGUGACAGCAAAAGCCAAUUCAAGUCUCACAUUCAGCAGUGUUUUGGAAAGAACAUAGCGUUUUUCACUGUUUAAUUCCCAUCUAUUCCUUGAUAAUUUGUAAGAAGACUCCAAAGUUUAUUUUUGAUACGAGGUAGGCCGUCUCAUAUGCCAAAAAUUGAAAUGCCCCAUGAAAUCGUGCACAGAUGACUCAACGAUUCGGGGGCAGAAUGCUCAGAUGGUCUUUGGUUGAUGCUCCCUGCUGCUUGUUUGUAAGUUAAUAUAUGCAUUUAUUCACUCAUUCAUUUAAUCUUUUUUUAAAAUUCAACAUAUAGUUAGUACUUACUCCAUCCUGGGCAUUCUGUUAGGUUUCAGGGAUACAAAAAUGUGUCUCCCUCUGUUAAGGAAUUUGCAGUCUGGCUUGUGAGACAAGAAAAGUGAUUUGAACUGUACAGUGUUGUAAGUGCUGUGACAGAAAUAAGCCCAGAAUGCAAAUUCAGAUGGGGAGAAUCUAAGAAGGCUUUCAGUACCUAUAAAUGCAUGAGCUGAGUUUGGGAUGAGAACAGGUUUAACCCCAUGAAGGACAGGAACUAGAGCCUGGUUGCAAAAUGCAUAGAUUCUACAGCCAGGCUGUCUGGUGUCAAGUUUUGAUUUUGACAGAAACGAUGCAUGACUCUAGGCAAAUGUCCCUCACUUUCUCCAUAAGGGACAAAGAUAAUAAUACCUACCACUUACCCCUCCCAGGAUUGUAAGGAUGAAUAUGUGAGUUAAUAUUUCCAAAGAACUGAGAACAGUAUCUGUCUCACCUAAUGGUUACAUGUGUUACAAAUAAAAAGGUCGAAAGGUGAGUAUCCUAGGUAGCAGGCAUAGCUGUUGUAGUGGCCUGAAAGGGCAUGGAUGCUGCCUUUAGGAAAGAGUUAAGCAUAGAAGGUAGAAGGUAGGGUCUGUAAAAGAGGAGGGUGAAAGAUCAGGUUGAGAGGUAUGAAGGCUCUGUUAAACAGUGUCAAUAUUAUCCUAGAUACCCAUGAAGAGCCAAAGAACUGAUAAGAUCAGUUUCAUAUUUUACACAGUUCAUUCUGGAAAUGCUGCAGAGAGUGGAUUGUAGGGUUGGAGGCAAUUCUGGAAUCAGGGAGACAAAUUAAAACAGUGUUUUCCCAAAUUUUCCAGUAAUAAGAAUCACCUGUGGGUGUUUUUAAACAUACAAAUUCCCAGGCUCAUUCCUAGGAGAUUCUGACUGAGAAGCUGGGAAAGGUCCAGUAAUCUAUGUUUUUAA